GGGUGAUUAGCUCAGCUGGUUAGAGUGCUUCGUUGACAUCGAAGAGGUCACUAGUUCGAAUCUAGUAUUACCCACCA
rnacentral:tRNA from 1 species